GGCCUGGCUGGGUGGUCUUGCCGCAAGGUAAGCACUGCUCCGGUUGGGUCUUUCCUUCUGGGGAACCGUUGUGCUCUUAAUUGAGUGCGGCGGGGAUCCAGGACUUUUACUUUGAAAAAAUUAGAGUGUUCAAAGCAGGCCUUUGCCCGAAUACAUUAGCAUGGCAUAAUAAAAUAGGAC
rnacentral:rRNA from 1 species